UCGGGAAUUUUGGGCAAUGGGCGAAAGCCUGACCCAGCAACGCCGCGUGAAGGAUGAAGUAUUUCGGUAUGUAAACUUCGAAAGAGUAGGAAGAAUAAAUGACGGUACUAUUUAUAAGGUCCGGCUAACUACGUGCCAGCAGCCGCGGUAAUACGUAGGGACCAAGCGUUGUUCGGAUUUACUGGGCGUAAAGGGCGCGUAGGCGGCAAUUCAAGUCAUCUGUGAAAUCUCCGGGCUUAACUCGGAACGGUCAGAUGAUACUGCUUUGCUAGAGUGCAGAAGGGGCAAUCGGAAUUCUUGGUGUAGCGGUGAAAUGCGUAGAUAUCAAGAGGAACACCUGAGGUGAAGACGGGUUGCUGGGCUGACACUGACGCUGAGGCGCGAAAGCCAGGGGAGCAAACGGGAUUAGAUACCCAGGUAGUCCCUGAGCGGGCUGGCAAGGCG
rnacentral:rRNA from 1 species